rnacentral:misc_RNA from 1 species
GAACGUCACCCCGUAGAGACUGCAAUGGCACCGCUUGAUGGAGCAAUCCAAAUUUAUGAGCGAUGCAAUACGCCGGCCCCGAUUUCUGACGAUCGGGUGAAGGUAUAGUCCUGCCCCAUUCGAAAGAUGGGAUGACGCAGGUCGUCAGCUCGUGCCGUGAGGUGUUGGCUUAAGUGCCGCAACGAGCGCAACCCCUGCUCUUAGUUGCCAGCGGGUAAUGCCGGGGACUCUAAGAGGACUGCCGGGGACAACUCGGAGGAAGGUGGGGAUGACGUUGAACGGUUGG